rnacentral:rRNA from 1 species
UACGUAGGCAGCAAGCGUUGUUCGGAGUUACUGGGCGUAAAGGGUGCGUAGGCGGUCCUAUAAGUAUGGUGUGAAAUCUCCCGGCUUAACUGGGAGGGUGCGCUAUAGACUGUGGGACUAGAGUGUGGGAGAGGAAAGUGGAAUUCCUGGUGUAGCGGUGAAAUGCGUAGAUAUCAGGAGGAACACCUGUGGUGUAGACAGCUUACUGGACCAUUUCUGACGCUGAGACACGAAAGCGUGGGUAGCAAACAGG